rnacentral:rRNA from 1 species
GACGUAGGGCGCGAGCGUUGUCCGGAUUUAUUGGGCGUAAAGGGUGCGUAGGUGGCGCGCUAAGUCAGGUGUGAAAUUUCGGAGCUUAACUCCGAAACUGCAUUUGAUACUGGUGUGCUUGAGGACUGGAGAGGAGACUGGAAUUCAUGGUGUAGCAGUGAAAUGCGUAGAGAUCAUGAGGAAGACCAGUGGCGAAGGCGGGUCUCUGGACAGUUCCUGACACUGAGGCACGAAGGCCAGGGGAGCAAACGGG